UAGGGAAUCUUCGUCAAUGGACGAAAGUCUGACCGAGCAACGCCGCGUGAGUGAAGAAGGUUUUCGGAUCGUAAAACUCUGUUGUUAGAGAAGAACAAGGACGUUAGUAACUGAACGUCCCCUGACGGUAUCUAACCAGAAAGCCACGGCUAACUACGUGCCAGCAGCCGCGGUAAUACGUAGGUGGCAAGCGUUGUCCGGAUUUAUUGGGCGUAAAGCGAGCGCAGGCGGUUUCUUAAGUCUGAUGUGAAAGCCCCCGGCUCAACCGGGGAGGGUCAUUGGAAACUGGGAGACUGGAGUGCAGAAGAGGAGAGUGGAAUUCCAGGUGUAGCGGUGAAAUGCGUAGAUAUAUGGAGGAACACCGGUGGCGAAGGCGGCUCUCUGGUCUGUAGCUGACGCUGAGGCACGAAAGCGUGGGGAGCAAACAGG
rnacentral:rRNA from 1 species